CAUAAGUAGCCCAUUGGUCAGAAACUAGGGCUACCUCCUGUUUCCAGAUGGGUUUCCUGAUGUGCCUGUUUGUCCUCAGCCUGGCAGUCAUUGUGGGCCUUUCUUCCUUACUCAGAGUUCAGGGCUCAAGCCUGCUGCCUCAAAGCGCCCUCUACACCAGGUUUUAAAGUACGGAGGCCACUCCUCAAAGAGACCCCAGAAUGCAAUGCUGUCCCUGGAGCUGUGCGCAGAAAGACUCUGCUGGGAUUCCUGGAUUCUCCAGCUUCUCUCUUGCAGAGGCCUUCUUUCCUAGGGCCUCUCCUUGGAAGCCAGCUUUCACAGUGAGCCUGAACUUGCUGAUGUUCUUAACCCUUGGGACUGCCUACCACACCAAGAGAGAACAUACCACAAAGUGGCAGGAGGUGCAGGAACAGGAGAAACUGCAUGAGGACAAGCAAAAGGACCAGAACACAAAGGAAAGUGUUCUGAAUGCCAGAGAUGAUCUGCAAGCAGUUCUUGGAAAGUUCUGUUCUUUCUCCAGAACUUUCUGCAUCCCCUUUGUAGGAGGUGUUCUGGUUCUCACCUUCUGUUUCCUGUGUUACCUUUAAGACUGGAGGAAAUCUAUUUACCUGGCUGGUUUUGAGGCAAAUGAGAGCUAAAUGACUUGGCGAAGGACUCAAAAUGGCUGUGGACAGGAGUGAAACUCAGCCUGCAAUGCAGACUUCCUGACCUGUGGUCCAGGGACUUUCCCUCAAUACCCUGCUGUCAGCACGUGGCAGGAGGUCAUCUCCUCUCCAGAUUUUCCCUGCUCUGCAGCUAGUGUCACCUAUAUUCCAGAGGGCAGACAAGGGUCUGUAGAUGAAUGCUGAGCAGGCUUGUUCUGACUGAGUUCUCACCAGGGUGUGCUCCCUUUCAGCCAGGAGGAAGGCACAGCUAUAUGCAGUAUCUGGCACUCUAGAUCCAGAGUCUGCACAUCCUGACCUUGAUGUCUCUGAUAAAAAGACUAAUAUGAUCUGAAUGGACACAUUUGAGGAUAUAGGAGAGACACAGCAUCCUGGACUGUGAGCUCCAAACAUCACAGUGAUGUUACUGGGAGGUGAAAAUCAAGAGUAGAAACAGAAAUGAGUGGGCUCUGGGGGUCUGUAGGGAAGGUGUGAAGAAGUAGGACUGGCACAAGAGUUCCCAGAAAAGGGGUUCUGGAUUGUGGGCACUUUGCCAAUAUAUAUUAUUCCUGCACCAUCACUGUGACUCAACUAAUCCUUGUGCAAGUUCUCCACAGGGUAGGGGUUUCCUGGACCUCAAUAAAGGUGUUGUCUGCUUUUAUAACAUGACUGAUAGCUUCCACAUUUUCUCCUUCUCUUUAGCUUCCUCCACUGGCUCUCUGUUUCUAUAUAUCAUGUCUCGGUCAGGAGAUGUGUCCCUGGUGGGUGGGCCUGGAGAGGACCCUGUGCUUUAUCCUUCUUUGGAAGAGACUGUGAACCUUUCAGGGCAGGGUUUUAGUCCAGGCUCUGGUGUUGAUGGUGCUUUCCAAGGAGCCAAAUCUUCAUUACUUUCUUGUAGCCCGAUGUUAUAUCCCCCUUACGGCCCAACAUAGUCUCAAACUGCUCAUGGUGGUUCUUAUUGAAGCUGCAGACUCCCUGAAGCAAAAGGAUUGAGGCUGGUACUGGGUGAGCUGGUGUCCUGCCCUCCUGUUCUGGAUACAGACUCCUGGUGUGGUUAUGAGAAUAGUUAGUUUAUACCUUAUGCUCAGGUAGCAGAAGAUAAAAGUUGACUCUUGUUUGAGCUGAUUUGGGGUAGGCUGAAUUUUACUGCCAGAGGUCAUGUUUCUUUUGGUAAUGAAAAUUAUUUCUUUUAAAAAGAUUUUAAUCAUCAUUUAUAUUUCAUUUAUAUUAUCA